UAUGUUACUGAAGAUGAUUUAAUUUCUUAUAUUCUUGCAGGUUUAGGAAUUGAAAGUGACCCUGUGGUUGUAAACAUUACAGCCAAAACUGAUGAUU
rnacentral:ncRNA from 1 species